AGUUCAAGAGUACGUGAAACCGUUCAGGGGUAAACCUGAGAAACCCAAAAGAUCGAAUGGGGAGAUUCAUCGUCGACGGCCGUCCUGGCCCCCGUUGACGCCGCGAUGCGCCGACUGAAUCGUUAUCCGAGCGGUUCACGCAGCGAGCGCACGCCGUCCUCGGGGUGUUCCGGCGUCGUAGUCGUGCACUUCUCCCCUAGUAGAACGUCGCGACCCGUUGCGUGUCGGUCUACGGCCCGAGCGGUAGCCUGUCCCGUCUCGCCUCGAGCGUGCGUGCGACAGACCCUCGGUCGCCCGGCCGGCUGCGCGACGGUACCCGCACGGUAUCGGGCCGCAGCGUUUUAUUAACGCGUGCGUCAGGCCCGUCGCAAGCUAGGUCAGUUCCAUACCCGGAGGUGUUUACGGACCCGGUGCCGUCCCCGGGCCUGUCCAGCUGUUGGCCGACGGUGUCCUCUGACUGUGUCCAUUAUUAUCUUACCGGUCGGCGACGCUAUUGCUUUGGGUACUCUCAGGACCCGUCUUGAAACACGGACCAAGGAGUCUAACAUGUGCGCGAGUCAUUGGGAUCGAUAUUUGAAACCUAAAGGCGGAAUGAAAGUGAAGGUCGUACCUUCGAGUCGACCGAGGGAGGAUGGGCCGCGUACAAUUUCGAUUCGUGCGGCCUCGCACUCCCGGGGCGUCUCGUUCUCAUCGCGAGAAGA
rnacentral:rRNA from 1 species